UGCAAGUCGAACGGAGUAUAGAGCUUGCUCCAUAUUUAGUGGCGAACGGGUGAGUAAUGCCUAGGAAUCUGCCCAUUAGCGGGGGAUAACGUGUGGAAACGCACGCUAAUACCGCAUACGCCCUACGGGGGAAAGCAGGGGAUCUUCGGACCUUGCACUAAUGGAUGAGCCUAGGUCGGAUUAGCUAGUUGGUAGGGUAAAGGCCUACCAAGGCUACGAUCUGUAGCGGGUCUGAGAGGAUGAUCCGCCACACUGGAACUGAGACACGGUCCAGACUCCUACGGGAGGCAGCAGUGGGGAAUAUUGGACAAUGGGCGAAAGCCUGAUCCAGCCAUGCCGCGUGUGUGAAGAAGGCCUUUUGGUUGUAAAGCACUUUAAGCGAGGAGGAGGGCACUUAGGUUAAUACCCUGAUGUGUCGGACGUUACUCGCAGAAUAAGCACCGGCUAACUCUGUGCCAGCAGCCGCGGUAAUACAGAGGGUGCGAGCGUUAAUCGGAAUUACUGGGCGUAAAGCGCGCGUAGGCGGUUAUGUAAGUUGGAUGUGAAAUCCCCGGGCUUAACCUGGGCACUGCAUUCAAAACUGCAUAGCUAGAGUAUGGGAGAGGAAGGUAGAAUUCCAGGUGUAGCGGUGAAAUGCGUAGAGAUCUGGAGGAAUACCGAUGGCGAAGGCAGCCUUCUGGCCUAAUACUGACGCUGAGGU
rnacentral:rRNA from 1 species